UGGAUUAAGAGCUUGCUCUUAUGAAGUUAGCGGCGGACGGGUGAGUAACACGUGGGUAACCUGCCCAUAAGACUGGGAUAACUCCGGGAAACCGGGGCUAAUACCGGAUAACAUUUUGAACCGCAUGGUUCGAAAUUGAAAGGCGGCUUCGGCUGUCACUUAUGGAUGGACCCGCGUCGCAUUAGCUAGUUGGUGAGGUAACGGCUCACCAAGGCAACGAUGCGUAGCCGACCUGAGAGGGUGAUCGGCCACACUGGGACUGAGACACGGCCCAGACUCCUACGGGAGGCAGCAGUAGGGAAUCUUCCGCAAUGGACGAAAGUCUGACGGAGCAACGCCGCGUGAGUGAUGAAGGCUUUCGGGUCGUAAAACUCUGUUGUUAGGGAAGAACAAGUGCUAGUUGAAUAAGCUGGCACCUUGACGGUACCUAACCAGAAAGCCACGGCUAACUACGUGCCAGCAGCCGCGGUAAUACGUAGGUGGCAAGCGUUAUCCGGAAUUAUUGGGCGUAAAGCGCGCGCAGGUGGUUUCUUAAGUCUGAUGUGAAAGCCCACGGCUCAACCGUGGAGGGUCAUUGGAAACUGGGAGACUUGAGUGCAGAAGAGGAAAGUGGAAUUCCAUGUGUAGCGGUG
rnacentral:rRNA from 1 species